AUCCCGUGCUUUUGCGGAUUUUUUAAUUGUGUGAUUUUUUAGCUCUUAGAUCAACCCCAUUGAUCAUUUCUAACCAUUGGAUUAAUAUUAUUAACCAAUAGGGACCACUCAACCCUAAGGGGACCACUAUCAUCCUAACCAUAGAAUCUUUGAUCCAAGGGCUAAAAAAUCGAAAGCACUAACUACUUUAUACUUCCGAUAGCAUAGUAGCUCUACACAAUAUAUACGUAUAUUAUAAGGAUAAUUGCCUAUAUACCCCUCAUACGUAUAUUAUAGAGAUAAAUAUUUUUCUUCUCACGUGUAAUAUCCGCACCCCCAAUUCUUUCGCAACAUAAUAUUCGUGAAUUUCUCAAAUAUCUCAACAUAAUUAUAGGUGAUUUUGAAAUAAAAUCCCCUUCAUUAUAGGUGAUUUUUAAUAAUAUAGUAAAAGAUAUUAAUUUUUUGCCUUCUCAAAAUAUUUGCUUUCUCACGCGUAAAUUAUAUUAAUUAUAUUUAAUUGGUAUAAUAAAAGUUAAUAAUAAUAUAUUAAUUUUAUUUCCUAAUUAAUAAAAAUAUAAAGUAAUUAUAGUUAUUAGUAUUGAUACCCUAAUUAUAAUAAAUGUAAUCGAACUGUUCUCGAGCCGACCACGAGCGAGCUGACCCUACCUUGUGUUCGGCUCGCUUAUUAAACGAGCUGGAAAAUCCAGCUCGUGUU
rnacentral:lncRNA from 1 species